CCGCCGGCUUGGCUAAGGCCUUCCGGGGCGACCAUGAAAGUGUGGUCAGCCGUGCCCUGCCUCCUUCGGGAAACACACAACUGGGUUCGUGAAACAGGGCGUAGUGAGGCUGCGGCCAAUAUCGAGACCUGCGCGCGGC
rnacentral:ncRNA from 1 species